rnacentral:rRNA from 1 species
UACAGAGGUCUCGAGCGUUAGGCGGAAUCACUGGGCUUAAAGCGUGUGUAGGUGGAUGCCUAAGUACCUUGUGAAAUCCCACAGCUUAACUGUGGAACUGCUUGGUAUACUGGGUGUCUUGAGUCACUCAGGGGCGAGCGGAACAAAUGGUGGAGCGGUGAAAUGCGUAGAUAUCAUUUGGAACGCCGAUGGUGAAAACAGCUCGCUGGGGUGUGACUGACACUGGAGACACGAAAGCCAGGGGAGCGAACGGG